rnacentral:rRNA from 1 species
AACGAACGCUGGCGGCAUGCCUAACACAUGCAAGUCGAACGAGACCUUCGGGUCUAGUGGCGCACGGGUGCGUAACGCGUGGGAACCUGCCCUUAGGUUCGGAAUAACUCCCCGAAAGGGGUGCUAAUACCGGAUAAUGUCUUCGGACCAAAGAUUUAUCGCCUUUGGAUGGGCCCGCGUUGGAUUAGCUAGUUGGUAGGGUAAAAGCCUACCAAGGCGACGAUCCAUAGCUGGUCUGAGAGGAUGAUCAGCCACACUGGGACUGAGACACGGCCCAGACUCCUACGGGAGGCAGCAGUGGGGAAUAUUGGACAAUGGGCGAAAGCCUGAUCCAGCAAUGCCGCGUGAGUGAUGAAGGCCUUAGGGUUGUAAAGCUCUUUUACCCGGGAUGAUAAUGACAGUACCGGGAGAAUAAGCUCCGGCUAAUUCCGU